GAUGAACGCUAGCGAUAGGCCUAACACAUGCAAGUCGAGGGGCAUCACAUGAAGUAGCAAUACGGAUGGUGGCGACCGGCGCACGGGUGAGUAACACGUAUGCAACCUGCCUUCAACAAGGGGAUAACCCGUUGAAAGACGGACUAAUACCCUAUAACACAGGGGUCCCGCAUGGGAAUAUUUGUUAAAGGACAACCGGUUGAAGAUGGGCAUGCGUUCCAUUAGCUAGUUGGCGGGGUAACGGCCCACCAAGGCAACGAUGGAUAGGGGAACUGAGAGGUUUAUCCCCCACACUGGUACUGAGACACGGACCAGACUCCUACGGGAGGCAGCAGUGAGGAAUAUUGGUCAAUGGACGCAAGUCUGAACCAGCCACGUCGCGUGAAGGAAGACGGCCCUACGGGUUGUAAACUUCUUUUAUACGGGAAUAAAGUGCCCCACGCGUGGGGUUUUGCAUGUACCGUAUGAAUAAGGAUCGGCUAACUCCGUGCCAGCAGCCGCGGUAAGUCA
rnacentral:rRNA from 1 species